rnacentral:tRNA from 1 species
GGAAGGUAGCCGGAUACGGUUUGCCGGGCCGCACUGCUAAUGCGUGCCACCAAGAGGUGAUGAGGGUUCAAAUCCCUUGCCUUCCGCC